UCUGGCCUAGGAGCUAGGACAUUGUGAUAUCAUAGUGGAAUCUGAUGCUUUGACUAUUGUUUCAAUGCUUAAUCUGAUUCUGUUUUUACUAAUAAGUUGUUUCCAUCAAUUACAUCAUUUUAAUCACCAGGAAUUAGCAAUUUAUUGACAAACUAUAAAGUAUUUAGGGUGCUAUACACUUCAGAUCAUAUUGUCUAAACCCACAAAAUCAAAGCCC
rnacentral:lncRNA from 1 species